UCUUAUGGAUGGGAAAAUAAAGUGGUUUCUUGAGAUGGAAUCUAUUCCUGGUAAAGAUGCUAUGAA
rnacentral:pre_miRNA from 1 species